CACGUAGGGUGCGAGCGUUGUCUGGAAUUAUUGGGCGUAAAGAGCUCGUAGGCGGUUUGGCAAGUCGGGUGUGAAAACUCCGGGCUCAACUCGGAGACGCCACUCGAUACUGCCAUGACUCGAGUCCGGUAGGGGAGUGCGGAAUUUCUGGUGUAGCGGUGAAAUGCGCAGAUAUCAGGAGGAACACCGGUGGCGAAGGCGGCACUCUGGGCCGGUACUGACGCUGAGGAGCGAAAGCGUGGGGAGCGAACAGG
rnacentral:rRNA from 1 species